rnacentral:rRNA from 1 species
GUGCCAGCAGCCGCGGUAAAACGUAGGAGGCAAUCGUUAUCCGGAUUUACUGGGCGUAAAGCGCGUGCAGGCGGUUCGGUAAGUCGGACGUGAAAGCUCCUGGCUCAACUGGGAGAGGCCGUUCGAAACUACCGGACUAGAGGGCAGGAGAGGGAGGUGGAAUUCCGGGUGUAGCGGUGAAAUGCGUAGAUAUCCGGAGGAACACCAGUGGCGAAGGCGGCCUCCUGGUCUGCCCCUGACGCUCAGACGCGAAAGCUAGGGGAGCGAACGGGAUUAGAAACCCGCGUAGUCC